AACGAACGCUGGCGGCAUGCCUAACACAUGCAAGUCGAACGAGAUCUUCGGGUCUAGUGGCGCACGGGUGCGUGACGCGUGGGAAUCUGCCCUUUGGUUCGGAAUAACAGUUGGAAACGACUGCUAAUACCGGAUGAUGACGAAAGUCCAAAGAUUUAUCGCCAGAGGAUGAGCCCGCGUAGGAUUAGCUAGUUGGUGUGGUAAAGGCGCACCAAGGCGACGAUCCUUAGCUGGUCUGAGAGGAUGAUCAGCCACACUGGGACUGAGACACGGCCCAGGCUCCUACGGGAGGCAGCAGUGGGGAAUAUUGGACAAUGGGCGAAAGCCUGAUCCAGCAAUGCCGCGUGAGUGAUGAAGGCCUUAGGGUUGUAAAGCUCUUUUACCCGGGAUGAUAAUGACAGUACCGGGAGAAUAAGCUCCGGCUAACUCCGUGCCAGCCGCCGCAGUAA
rnacentral:rRNA from 1 species